UAUUUUCUAGGCAGUUGUACAUCUUCUUGCACAGUGCCAGCCAUGCACCAGAGAAAGACAGAAAAAAGCACGAGAAGCUGCUUUCAAGGAGCAACUGAGAGAAUACUAAGAACUACUCAAGCAGAGAGAGAAAAUACAGGAGAUGGAAGAGCAGAGAAAUGAUGAAGAAAACAGAAUUCAAAACGGGACAGAAUAUACAUGGAACGUGAAUGGAAACUGAAUGUGGCUAUUUAAACACGAUCUACCGAACGAAACAAGAGCCAAACAGCCCUCUCUGUUUUCCCACUGCCAGUUAGAUAUGUAGCUGUUAAAAGCUCAGGAACCCUAGCAAGAGGAAAAGGUGGAUGGACACAGUGGUAGCAGGAGAACACUCUCCGUAUCUUUUCCUGCUCCACCUUGGACCCUGGCCAACCCAGGAAUUGCCAGAAUACCCUGAGCACUGAUCCUCUCCUGAGAUUUUCCAGCCCAUCACUGUCAAGGAGGACAGCCAGCCACAGAGGAAGCAUUCGAGUUCUGGCAGCACUUUUCAGACAUCCAGCUGCAAUAUGCAUCAAACUGCUAUUGAUGCAGUCUGAUGCAGAAGGUUGGAAGAAGCAAUUGUUGCUCUAUGGGUCUCAAAGGAUAAGAGCAUGCCUACAAGGCAGCUGACUGCAGUCACAUUUUGACACUGUAGCACAUAAUCAGAUGUACUGAGUAAGUGGUCCUGGAAAAAUCUGGAGCCUUUCCUCUCAGCACGAAAUGUGAGAACUUGGCCAUGCACUGAUUUUGCUUGCAGUUGUCUUCAUCAGAUGUAUGAAUCGGAUGGAGACUAGCUAGGCUGAAAUCCCUUGCAGGCGGUCAUUGUAGACCUACUACAGCAAGUAAAACAUGUUAAAGACCCAUUGCCAUUAGUCCAUAAGUUCUGUUCAACCAACAUCUGAAUGGCGCUUUUCAUCUAAGGCUGCUGACCUAAGUUAAUCACAUCUUUGAAUAUUUCCUAAUACUUUAGCAAACAAUUCACAUUAAAGUGAGUAGGGCUGAAUAGUGCUUAACUUCUCAUUAAACCAAUUUGGGAUUGGGUUCUACAAUGAGAAACUGAUCCUUUUGUGUCAUUGGCCCAGUCUGGUGGAAUAAUCUUGCCAACAGAGAUUCAGUGGGUGCCUUAUGUGCCAACUUUUAAAUGCCUGCUGAAAACUUUUCUAUUCUGCCAGGCCUAUGCAGGCAAUUAAGAAUACAUCAAUCACAAUGGUUUGUUGAUGUCUGCUUUCAAUUUCUUUUUGCCUUUAACUUGUUUUUAACUUUUUAUGAUGUUAUUGUUUGGUUUUAUGUUUUUAUAUUGCAAACUGCUAUGAUAUAUGAUAUCUAUUUACGAUACAGCAGUAUAUACACAUUUUUUUAUAAAUUAAUGACAUAUUUCUUGAUGACAUUUAGCUGGCCGAGGAAAAAUUAUAUACAGUGGUACCUUGGUUCUCAAACUUAAUCCAUUCCAGAAGUCUGUUCCAAAACCAAAACGUU